rnacentral:lncRNA from 10 species
AAUCAUGCACAUUUUUUCUUUAAAAAAAACAGUUUAAGGGUUAAGAUUGUGAAAGGAAAAUAUCUUGGGCCCCUUCAAGCUGGGAACUGCUCAGGGCAAAUCUGCCUCCAUUCUAUUCGAAGUCAUCCCUCUGCUCACAGAGAUAGAGGCACAGCCAUCUGUCUCUCACCUACCAGUGACCUGGAAGCCCCUGAGGGGAGGGAGAGGGGGCGGGGGGAGGGCUUGCUUUCAGUUUUCUCCACCUUUCUGGAGGAACUAACGUACUUCUUCCAUAUAUUGAUUGAUGUUUUGUGUCUCCCUAAAAUGUAUAAAACCAAACUGUGCCCUGACUACCUUGGGCAUAUGUCAUCAGGAUUCCUGAGGCUGUGUCAUGGGUGCACACCCUCAACCUUGGCAAAAUAAACUUUCUAAAUUAACUGAGACUUGUCUCAGAUUUUCUGGGUUCACAUUUUGGUAACCACAGGGGGAUUCUGAGUGGAGAUACCCCUGACCUUUGACAAAUAUCCUGUUGGUGCUUGGUACCAGCAUGAGCUAACUUUAUGGUUCAAACCAAUAGGACAAUUUGCCGUGCACCCCCUCCAGAGAAUCCCUGAGCUCCAAAAAUUUGGUUGAGAUCAAAAGUUUAUUUUGCUGUACAACUCCUCUUUUUGAGGGAGUUUUACUUGCUUCCAACAGGAAGGCAGGUUUUCUUGCUUCCAUGAUGAUGGAAGGCAGACAACUCCUUUAUGGAGUUUGAGCUUGCUUCCAACAGGGAAGAUGAGGUUUUUUUUUUCCUUCUUCUAGGAUGGUAGAGAGCGGUCUACAGCCUGAGACCCAUCACCAGCUAUUGCAACAGAGGCUACUCUUUGGUUUUCAAGAAAGAGUGUGGCUGCGCGUGGUGGCUCAUGCCUGUCAUCCCAACACUUUGGGACACCGAGGCGGGAGGAUCACGAGGUCAGGAGUUCAAGACCAGCAUGGACAACCUGGUGAAACCUCAUCUCUACUAAAAAUACAAAAAUUAGCUGGGCAUGGUGGUGCGUGCCUGUAAUCCCAGCUACUCAGGAGGCUGAGGCAGGAGAAUUGUUUGAACCGGGACCCAAGAGGUGAGGUUGCAGUGAACCAAGGUCAUGCCACAGCACUCCAGCCUGGGCUGCAGAGCAAGACUCCAUCACAAAAAAAAAAAAAGUGUAGUUUAAUUUUAUGUAUAAUUUGGCUCAAAGAAAAAUAAAAGCAUCUCCCUCUAGCACCACCAGAUUUUCUUCUCUCUGUACCUUAUGAUGCAAAUUUUGCUAUUUGAUUUUCACCUGAGUUGUUUCCUUUAAUGUGCAAAUUUAAGGCUAUUUAGCUGACAACUGCCUAGGAUUGUGAAAGAGGUUAUCAAGAAUCUGAAAGUCUAAGAUAGAAAAAAAAAAAAUAGGGUGGGCGUUUCUUUAUAAACCUAUAAAAUGUACUUCUAUGGUCAUGCCUAAUAUACAUUGACAUGUAUUUAUAUGUUCUGUACAAAAUGUUUCACUGCUAAAAAUAUAUAAAAGAGCUCUAAUUAAUUGGCUUAAAGAAAAUAAAAGCACUUAAAUCAGCUACUAAAAAAGAAACGACUAGUCAAAUGCUUUUUCAAGUUUAUGUAACUUAAGUAAAAUCUUUAAUAAAUAAGCUAGCUUUAAAAUUAUUGGUAAAGUAAUAUUAAAAGUGUCUUAAGGAAUAACCAACAUAUAUUUGUGUUGCAUUUAUUAAUCAAGUAAAUUUUAUACUCAUCUCUGUCAAAUAUAUUUGUGUCAAAAUUUGGCAUAGGAGACACAAAACUAUAAACCCAGCCCAAAUCAGAAUGAUCUUUGUGUAAUUUUUAAUAAAUUAGACAUUUAUAUGGGUUUAAUGAAAAUAGCUGCAUCUUGAAUUUAGUAAGAUUACCUUAACUUCUAAUCCUGUGGUUUUAGGCAGUUUGGUUCACAGCCAAUAAAGAGGUUUAUUUUGGGAAAGGACUCUUAUUGUCUUUGUUUCAAAGCUAAACUUUAAGUUCCUCUCAAAGUUACUUUGGCCUAUGCCCAGGAAUGAACAAGGACAGUUUGGAUGUUAAGAGCAAGACGGAGUCAGUUAGGUCCAAUCUUUUUUCACCGCCUCAAUUAUAAUUUUCCAAUGGUAGUUUCAUAACUUUAAAUCAUGACUAUCACAGUUUUCAUAAAUAAUCUAGAUAAACAAUUACAAUAAAAUAAGUAAAUGUAAUGGAAUAAAUACUUGUAGUCAAACUGGUCUUAAUUUAGAAUAUAUGGUUAUAUUAAAUUAAAUGAUAGAUAUUUCAUUAUUUGAGUAUUUUCCAAUAAAUAUAUACUGUAGGAAAACAUUCUUGCUAAAAGAAAGUGUCCUUUUUUAAAAAAAGGUGAACAAGUUUUGAUUAAUUCAAAGUUUAUUUAAAGAUUAUGUAUAAAACAAGGUAAAAGGAACCAGGAGUAAAAAAAAUAUGUAAAGAAAGUUGUAAAAAUUAAGAGGUUUUUGUUUUUUGAGGUAAAAAAGCUUAAAGAUAAAUAAUUUUAUUUAAGAAAUAAUCUUCUGUGGUAAAUUUAGUCCUAAAAUAAAAUAACUGGUUGUUUAAAAAGGAGGGAUGUUCAGGAAAACCAAAAAGUCUGAACAUGUGAUGAACAGUAAGUGUAAGUCACAAUAAGAAGAUUUAUAUAUAUUUUUUAAAUUAUGUAAUUAAAUUGUCAUAUUAUUAUUAAGUUUUGGUUUGCUUAACAAAAGUGAGAUACAAUGUUUUUUUUAAUUAAGGCUAUUACAUCCAUGUAUCUUCCUGUAUGUGCUUUUAAAGUCCUUAUAAUACUGAGUUACGGGCUUUAACUCCUAAGUCUAAAAAGGACACCAAGUCCUGCUAAAUCUUAAACACUGACAGCAAUUAAAGCCUCAUCUUCAGGCCCUGUAGAAGAUGCCAAUCAAAAUAAACUGCAUUCCUGAGACAUAGGGCAAAAGAAUUAAAGCUAUUAAGUUCCUCAAGGCCCAGUGACUAUCAUGGAAGUGGUGGACAUGUAAGAUUACAAGGGCCGAUUUUGAAAAAUAAAAUAUAUUCAGUUUCUCUAUAAAUUAAUCAUUAGUGUCAAAGGCACACUGAUGCAAAACCAGUAUAUGGCCCCCUGUGUCAGAUUAACAAGAUUUUCUUGAAGCAUUAACCAACUCCUUAAUAAAGGUUAUAAAAGGCCUAUGGAAGCUAUAUUUUAUAAUCAAGAUUAAAUUUUAUAGAUUGUUUACAAAAUUUUGGAAAAGAAAAGUAAUUGGCUUCUUGCUAUUUUUAUUAGGGCUUGUUUAGAAAAGUAAGUCUCCUAUCUCAAAGAAUGAAGGUCUUCAUCUUUUUUUUUUUUUUUUUUUAAUCCUCGAGUUAUCACUUUGGUUAAAUAAAUGACUUUACAAUGACCUGUAAUCCUCUUUUGUAAUACCAAGUGUUUUAAACCUUUUAUAUUUGAUGAACUUCCCAAAACUAAAUUAUAAAUUAUGUCUUUUUCUAAUCUAAUUAAACCUUUAAGACAUUAGAUUUCCUAAAGUCCAAAAAUCACAUAUGUUGGCUUAUUUGGUAUAAAAAUUUUACAGAAAGCAUUUGUCAAACAUGAAAUGUUGUUUGGUUUUCUUUGGGUUGUAUUUGUAGGAAUAUGUUAUUGGUAUGUGUUCCAAAAUUAUGAGAAACUCCUAUAAUUCUGAUAUAACAGUGUACAUUAUCAGUAAUCAUAAUUGUUAUGUUAAAAUUAUUGUGUGCCACAGAGUUAACAAAUUUCCUUGUCAAUUGUGUCUUUGAACUAUGGCUGCCUUAAAACUUUUUUUUCAUUCAUGGACAAUUGUUGUCUUAUUUGGGCCUCUUUAGAAGGUGGUUUUAUAAUCAGCUAUAAAACUCCAACAGGUGCUCUGAAAUGCAGGUUUCUGAUAACUUUGGGGAUAGUGACAUCAGAAUAGAGGAAAAGCUUUCAGGACUCAUGAAGAGCUAAAAUGUUCAUGAGUCUCAAGCAGAACAGGAAUUAACUUCAUGGAUGGAACCAAUCUUUUUGACUUUUGCUUAAAAUGUUUGCUGAUCCUUUUUUUUAUUUUUCAGAACUUUUCUUUUGAGCUAUUGACAGCUUUUAACAAUUUAGUAUACUUCUUAUGAAUAAAAUUUGGAGCAUAUUUGUUUCUUUCUACCUUUGGAAUUUGGAAACUAUUUGUGACUAUUGUUAACUUAUGGCAAUACAGUUAUUUGCAUAAGUGUAAUUAGAAUAUAUUUUCAUUUGUAACAGGACACAAUUGGAGAAAUUAUUUUACCAAGGCUUUGACUGGAAUGAUGUACUUUCCUUUAAAGAAUAAACUUGACUUAUGGAGCCAAUAAAGCCCUUUUGAAAAACUGGCCUCAUGUUUUAUGUACACAGUCCAUGUGCAGGGGUUCUGACCUGUGGACAUGAGACUUCACAAUCUGCUAAAAAUGAGCUUUUGGGACCUACUCAUCUAGAAAUAAACCAUCCUAGCCAUGAGAGAUCAGAUGAAACCUGAAGCCAGAGAUUUAUUUUUUUGUAAAAUGCUUUCUACAAAAGAUUUGAAAAAAGAAAAGGGGGGAAAUGUGAAAAGAAAAUAUCUUGGGCCCCUUCAAGCUGGAAACCACUCAGGGCAAAUCUCCCUUGCAUUCUAUUCAAUGUAAUCCCUCUGCUCACAGAGAUAGAUGCAUAUUCUGAUUGGGCUUGCUUUAAGUUGUUUCUGUUUUUCUGGACAGAAAUAAUGGACUCCUUACAUAUAUUGAUUGAUAUUUCAUGUCUGCCUAAAAUAUACAAAACCAAACUGUGCCCCGACUACCUUGGGCACAUGUCAUCAGGAUUUCCUGAGGCUGUCAUGGGUGUGUCCUCAACUUUGUCAAAAUAAACUUUUAAAUUAACUGAGAU